CAAAUUAGAGCUUGAGUUAAAGUAUUUCAUUUACAUUGAAAAGAUAUUAAAAAUAAUUGAUUUGA
rnacentral:tRNA from 1 species